AGCCACACAUAGGCACACUCGCACUAGCGGGCCCGUUCCCGCCCUUCCGCUCCUGCUUCUUCUGACGUUUUGAUCUUCUUGACUUGAAAAGACUCUUAUAAAACUCUAAGGCAAGCCCCUCCCCCCGUUUCUCCUCACAUUUGUUUCUUCACUCGUGCCCAUUGUCCCACAGCGUGACAUUCGCCUAGUCUUCCACCCACCCCCUUCCUCCGCUUACAAAACAAGCGAACAAGAAACCCCGCCCGUGCGCGCAAGCGCUCUCGCUUGCGGUUCACCUCUGUUCUCGUUGUGUGGAAAGGUCUGUGGGCCUUGUGUCUGUCGCCCUCUCUCCUCCACCUGUGUUACCACCAAUGUUCUCGCAAGGGAAGCAGGGCUCGCUGUUUUCCCUCGGCCGAGGCCCCGGCGGCAUGACGGCCAACGACAAGACGAGAAACAAGGCGCUUACACAGGCGGAGAAGUACGAGCAGGCGCUUGUCACGGCGAAGGUGUUUCUGGAGGACAGUCGGGCACGUAUGACCAAGUCCAUGGACAAGUACAGCGCUGUUGUGAACAGCAACUACUGGUUCUACGGGUACUUUGGCGGCAACAUGGUGGCGACCAUGGCGGCCUGUUUGGCGCUGGGCAACCGCUGGGCCUUUUUCAGGUCAUACAGCGGCUGGAUCGCUGUCUUCGGCGGCUACUUUGGCGGCAGGGCGUGCCUCGCCGCCCACUCGAGCAUGCUGCUUGGCGGCGUCGUGGCGCAGCUGAAUCAUGAGAUCGAAGAGGCCAAGCGGAUGGACGAGCAGACGGACCACAUUGUGCCAGACUACCUGCGUGAGGCGGAGCGGCUAACGCAGGUGAAGUACGAGCUGGUGCCGACGCUGCCAGAGGCGGUCGAGGCACGCGCUCACCACACAGAGCAGACCCUCGACGACCGCGCCGACGCACUCAUCGAGGCUUAUAUGAAGCGCAAGGAGGCCCUCGGGAAGUAGAGGGACUGUAACGGAGCCGACGAUAACAACGCAGCAAAACAACGGAAGGGGAGGGGUAGGAUAACGCUGCUAUUCGUUCGACUCGGACGACAGUUGUGCCUGCCGUGGUCACUGCCAUCUCGGUGCCUCCUUCACAGGCAUGUACAAGAGCAGACGCUUCGUGCGCUUCCCUUUUAGUUGUCUCGUUAGUCCGUUGUCGCAUGGAGUACAUCUUGCACUGUCUAGACACGAAGACAUCGCUCACGUCAGCGACGGCUUUUCCAUGCAGCAAAACGCACGUAUCUCACAGAUUCUCCUCCUUUAUCGUGCGUUCGCCGCCAAGCAUCGCAGGGUACGCGUAUAAAACAAAACAAGAGAACGGGGGGGGCAUGCACGACUUGGUCACCCUGCACGGAUCUCGUUGAUUCAUCAGCGUUGCUGCUUCGACACACCACCGCUUUCUUACUGUGUGCCAGCCAGUGGCCCUUUCAGCAAGCCUCCUUGCGCUGCUAGCGGCAUGAUGACGAAUCUCUCUCGGUCUGGCAGCUACUUGAGGGGGGAGGGAGCAUACGUGCCCGACGAGGGGUGCACGCAUAUUUUCAUGCCCCCCCCCCUCCUCCACCUCGCCCACCGCUGCUUCCUCUCGUGGCCAUUCUGUGUUCUCUCUCGCACCACGUGAAACCAAACAAACAACAAACAG
rnacentral:misc_RNA from 1 species